UGCAGUCGACGGUAACAGGUCUUCGGAUGCUGACGAGUGGCGAACGGGUGAGUAAUACAUCGGAACGUGCCCGAUCGUGGGGGAUAACGGAGCGAAAGCUUUGCUAAUACCGCAUACGAUCUACGGAUGAAAGCAGGGGACCGCAAGGCCUUGCGCGGACGGAGCGGCCGAUGGCAGAUUAGGUAGUUGGUGGGAUAAAAGCUUACCAAGCCGACGAUCUGUAGCUGGUCUGAGAGGACGACCAGCCACACUGGGACUGAGACACGGCCCAGACUCCUACGGGAGGCAGCAGUGGGGAAUUUUGGACAAUGGGCGAAAGCCUGAUCCAGCCAUGCCGCGUGCAGGAUGAAGGCCUUCGGGUUGUAAACUGCUUUUGUACGGAACGAAAAGACUCCUUCUAAUAAAGGGGGUUCAUGACGGUACCGUAAGAAUAAGCACCGGCUAACUACGUGCCAGCAGCCGCGGUAAUACGUAGGGUGCAAGCGUUAAUCGGAAUUACUGGGCGUAAAGCGUGCGCAGGCGGUUAUAUAAGACAGAUGUGAAAUCCCCGGGCUCAACCUGGGAACUGCAUUUGUGACUGUAUAGCUAGAGUACGGCAGAGGGGGAUGGAAUUCCGCGUGUAGCAGUGAAAUGCGUAGAUAUGCGGAGGAACACCGAUGGCGAAGGCAAUCCCCUGGGCCUGUACUGACGCUCAUGCACGAAAGCGUGGGGAGCAAACAGGAUUAGAUACC
rnacentral:rRNA from 1 species